rnacentral:rRNA from 1 species
UACGGGGGGGGCAAGCGUUGUUCGGAAUUACUGGGCGUAAAGGGCGCGUAGGCGGUCUGACAAGUCAGGGGUGAAAUCCUGCAGCUUAACUGUAGAAGUGCCUUUGAUACUGUCAGUCUUGAGGGAAAUAGGGGUGUGCGGAACUUCCAGUGGAGCGGUGAAAUGCGUUGAUAUUGGAAGGAACGCCGGAGGCGAAAGCGGCGCACUGGAUUUCUUCUGACGCUGAGGCGCGAAAGCUAGGGGAGCAAACGGG